rnacentral:rRNA from 1 species
CAGCGCCACGAGUGGCAACCGCGAUUAUUGGGCCUAAAGCGUCCGUAGCCGGGUUGAUAAAUCCUCUGUGAAAUUGUACGGCUUAACCGUACAACGUGCAAGGGACACUGUCGACCUCGAGACCGGGAGGAGUCAGAAGUAUUCCAGAGGGAGCGGUAAAAUGUUAUAAUCUCUGGAGGACUACCUGUGGCGAAGGCGUCUGACCAGAACGGAUCUGACGGUGAGGGACGAAAGCCAGGGGAGCGAACCGGAUUAGAGACCCGAGUAGUCC